CAGAGGGUAGUUUAAUUUAGAAUUCUAGCUUUGGGAGCUAGAGGUGGGAGUUAAAAUCUCUUCCCUCUG
rnacentral:tRNA from 1 species